CCUACGGGUGGCAGCAGUGAGGAAUAUUGGUCAAUGGACGGAAGUCUGAACCAGCCAUGCCGCGUGCAGGCAGACGGCUCUAUGAGUUGUAAACUGCUUUUGUACAAGGGUAAACCUGAAUACGUGUAUUCAGCUGAAAGUACUGUACGAAUAAGGAUCGGCUAACUCCGUGCCAGGAGCCGCGGUAAUACGGAGGAUCCAAGCGGUUUUCGGAAUUUUUGGGUUUAAAGGGUGCGUAAGCGGAUUGAUAAGUUCGAUGUUAAAUGUGCGGGCUUAACUCGGGAACUGCCGCUAAUACUGUUGAUCUAGAGAGUAUGUGCGGUAGGCGGAAUGUAUGGUGUAGCGGUGAAAUGCUUAGAGAUCAUACAGAACACCGAUUGCGAAGGCAGCUUACCAAUCUAUAUCUGACGUUGAGGCACGAAAGCGUGGGGAGCAAACAGGAUUAGAUACCCUGGUAGUC
rnacentral:rRNA from 1 species